rnacentral:rRNA from 1 species
GGGCUCACACAAGCGGUGGAGCAUGUGGAUUAAUUCGAAGCAACGCGCAGAACCUUACCUAGGUUUGACAUGCUUGGAUGCUUGCCUGGAAACAGGUUAAGCUGCCCUUCGGGGUGAAACUUGCACAGGUGCUGCAUGGCUGUCGUCAGCUCGUGUCGUGAGAUGUCGGGUUAAGUCCUCUAACGAGCGAAACCCUUGCCGUUAGUUACCAGCGGGUUAUGCCGGGAACUCUAACGGGACUGCCGGUGUUAAACCGGAGGAAGGUGGGGAUGACGUCAAGUCAUCAUGGCCUUUAUGCCUAGGGCAUCACACGUGCUACAAUGACCGGUACAAAGCGACGCAAGACCGCGAGGUGGAGCCAAUCGCAAAAAACCGGCCUCAGUUCGGAUUGCAGGCUGGCAACUCGCCUGCAUGAAGUUGGAAUCGCUAGUAAUCGCGAAUCAGCUAUGUCGCGGUGAAUGUGUUCCUGAGCCUU